AUAGCUUCGGUUAUUAUUUAGUGGCGGAAGGGUUAGUAAUACAUAGAUAAUCUGUCCUCAACUUGGGAAUAACGGUUGGAAACGACCGCUAAUACCGAAUGUGGUAUGUUUAGGCAUCUAAAACAUAUUAAAGAAGGGGAUCUUCGGACCUUUCGGUUAAGGAAGAGUCUAUGGGAUAUCAGCUUGUUGGUGGGGUAAUGGCCUACCAAGGCUUUGACGUCUAGGCGGA
rnacentral:rRNA from 1 species